rnacentral:rRNA from 1 species
UAGGGAAUCUUCCACAAUGGACGCAAGUCUGAUGGAGCAACGCCGCGUGAGUGAAGAAGGUUUUCGGAUCGUAAAGCUCUGUUGUUGGUGAAGAAGGAUAGAGGCAGUAACUGGUCUUUAUUUGACGGUAAUCAACCAGAAAGUCACGGCUAACUACGUGCCAGCAGCCGCGGUAAUACGUAGGUGGCAAGCGUUGUCCGGAUUUAUUGGGCGUAAAGCGAGCGCAGGCGGAAUGAUAAGUCUGAUGUGAAAGCCCACGGCUCAACCGUGGAACUGCAUCGGAAACUGUCAUUCUUGAGUGCAGAAGAGGAGAGUGGAAUUCCAUGUGUAGCGGUGGAAUGCGUAGAUAUAUGGAAGAAAACCAGUGGCGAAGGCGGCUCUCUGGUCUGCAACUGACGCUGAGGCUCGAAAGCAUGGGUAGCGAACAGG